rnacentral:rRNA from 1 species
UACGAAGGGGGCUAGCGUUGCUCGGAAUUACUGGGCGUAAAGCGCACGUAGGCGGUCUUUUAAGUCGGGGGGUGAAAUCCUGGAGCUCAACUCCAGAACUGCCUUCGAUACUGGAAGACUUGAGUCCGGGAGAGGUGAGUGGAACUGCGAGUGUAGAGGUGAAAUUCGUAGAUAUUCGGAGGAACACCAGUGGCGAAGGCGGCUCACUGGCUCGGUACUGACGCUGAGGUGCGAAAGCGUGGGGAGCAAACAGG